rnacentral:tRNA from 1 species
GGCGGCGUAGCCAAGUGGUAAGGCAGAGGACUGCAAAUUCUCGAUCCCCGGUUCGAAUCCGGGCGCCGCCU